AUGAAUGUCCAGGCACUGGCAGUCACCACGCUCCUCCUGGUGCUGCUCUGCUCAGUCCCAGCACUGUCUGGGGUACUGGGGAGCCAGGCCAGCAAUCUGCAGAGUGAGAGAGUGGCUGGCUUCCCUGAAGAAGCCCCUUGGCCUCCUGGAGAUGGAGGGGACAAGCUGCCUGGGCAGGGCUCAGAGAGGACCCACCCUCUGGCCAGUGCAUGGAAAGUGAUGAGAGAGGCACACCGCAGCUCCAGGUCCCUCAGCAAGGCCACGGCCAAGGCUCUCCUGGGCAGUGGGGAGAGGGUUGCCCCUGGCAAGGCCUGGAGGCUGCCACUGCAGCCCUCCCGCAGCAGGAUGGCCAGGCUGAGCCACCACCUGAAGGACUACGGCAGGUUCAACAGCGACACGCACUCCUGCCACAGCAUCCAGUCCCGGCCCUGCCGGAAGCCCUCUGACUGCAGCGGCUGCCUGGGGCUCUACACCUGCAAGCUGCCUGCUGCCACCUGCGACCUGAAAUCUGUCUCCAGGCAGAGAGGUGGCUUCCUCCAAAGCAUACAGACCCCUUAGAUGGAGAGUCAAGUUCAUCUCGGAGCAGCACAGCUCAAACUAAAGCUGAAGAGGUUGUCCCACAGCUGGAAAUCAACACUUCCUGUCCAAGUUUUAUUUUAAAUCCUUAACGACACAGUUGUAAAUGUUUCUUUCAUUGUACUUCUCGUGCUGCUGCUUUUUAACACCCCCUUUGGGUUUUGUACACUAUGUAGGCUUGAUUCCCACUUUCCUGAGAGCAGCCAAUAAAGGCACUGAGUGGUCAUGGAGCCCUGUGCUG
rnacentral:lncRNA from 1 species